rnacentral:rRNA from 1 species
UGGGGAAUAUUGCACAAUGGGGGGAACCCUGAUGCAGCGACGCCGCGUGGAGGAAGAAGGUCUUCGGAUUGUAAACUCCUGUUGUUAGGGACGAUAAUGACGGUACCUAACAAGGAAGCCACGGCUAACUACGUGCCAGCAGCCGCGGUAAAACGUAGGUGGCAAGCGUUGUCCGGAAUUACUGGGUGUAAAGGGAGCGCAGGCGGAACGACAAGUUGGAAGUGAAACCCACAGGCUCAACCUGUGGCCUGCUUCCAAAACUGCCGUUCUUGAGUAGUGUAGAGGUAGGCGGAAUUCCCGGUGUAGCGGUGGAAUGCGUAGAUAUCGGGAGGAACACCAGUGGCGAAGGCGGCCUACUGGGCACCAACUGACGCUGAGGCUCGAAAGUAUGGGUAGCAAACAGGAUUAGAUACCCUGGUA